UACGAAGGGGGCUAGCGUUGCUCGGAACCACUGGGCGUAAAGGGUGCGUAGGCGGGUCUUUAAGUCAGGGGUGAAAUCCUGGAGCUCAACUCCAGAACUGCCUUUGAUACUGAGGAUCUUGAGUUCGGGAGAGGUGAGUGGAACUGCGAGUGUAGAGGUGAAAUUCGUAGAUAUUCGGAAGAACACCAGUGGCGAAGGCGACUUACUGGACACAUAUUGACGCUGAGGUGCGAAAGCGUGGGGAGCAAACAGG
rnacentral:rRNA from 1 species